GAACGGGUGAGUAACACGUGAGCAACCUGCCUUUCAGUGGGGGACAACAUUUGGAAACGAAUGCUAAUACCGCAUAAGACCACAGUGUCGCAUGGCACAGGGGUCAAAGGAUUUAUCCGCUGAAAGAUGGGCUCGCGUCCGAUUAGCUAGAUGGUGAGGUAACGGCCCACCAUGGCGACGAUCGGUAGCCGGACUGAGAGGUUGAACGGCCACAUUGGGACUGAGACACGGCCCAGACUCCUACGGGAGGCAGCAGUGGGGAAUAUUGCACAAUGGGGGAAACCCUGAUGCAGCGACGCCGCGUGGAGGAAGAAGGUCUUCGGAUUGUAACUCCUGUCCCAGGGGACGAUAAUGACGGUACCCUGGGAGGAAGCACCGGCUAACUACGUGCCAGCAGCCGCGGUAAAACGUAGGGUGCAAGCGUUGUCCGGAAUUACUGGGUGUAAAGGGAGCGCAGGCGGAUUGGCAAGUUGGGAGUGAAAUCUAUGGGCUCAACCCAUAAAUUGCUUUCAAAACUGUCAGUCUUGAGUGGUGUAGAGGUAGGCGGAAUUCCCGGUGUAGCGGUGGAAUGCGUAGAUAUCGGGAGGAACACCAGUGGCGAAGGCGGCCUACUGGGCACUAACUGACGCUGAGGCUCGAAAGCAUGGGUAGCAAACAGGAUUAGAUACCCUGGUAGUCCAUGCCGUAAACGAUGAUUACUAGGUGU
rnacentral:rRNA from 1 species